rnacentral:rRNA from 1 species
UACAGAGGUCUCAAGCGUUGUUCGGAUUCAUUGGGCGUAAAGGGUGUGUAGGUGGCGCCGUAAGUCGGGUGUGAAAUUUCGGAGCUUAACUCCGAAACUGCAUUCGAUACUGCGGUGCUUGAGGACUGGAGAGGAGACUGGAAUUCAUGGUGUAGCAGUGAAAUGCGUAGAUAUCGUAAGGAAGACCAGUGGCGAAGGCGGGUCUCUGGACAGUUCCUGACGCUGAGGCACGAAGGUCAGGGGGAGCAAACGGG